UUUUUUUUAUCAUUUCCUUAAUAUUGUUGGACAGAUUUGUUUUCCUGAGAGGUGUCUUUGUUGCGCACUUGGCACAAAUGUCUCAUCAUCACCAUGAUGCACUUCAGCUGUUGUUGAAUGUGAAAGGAUCCAAACUAAUGAGGUGUAAAUGGAUUCUCCUGAUGGCGCAGCUGCUGUCAUGGAGAGAAAAAUGAGCUCCAUCACAUGAUAGAUAGAGGAGAUGAGCUCAGAGACACUCAUCGUUCAGUCUGCAGAGUCUGCUGCAGAGGGUGUUCUACAACAGAAUACGCCCCAUGUCUCCGCACAAUACGGCAAACUGCAAGAGGAGAUGCAGAUCACAUAUUGGGACACUUUCCUCAGGAAGUGUUUUCACCCUUGAGGCUGCUACAGUUCAAACAAGACCUAUAUUAAUGAAACUUGCAACAAUGUAGCAUCUCCUGGAGUUCUUCUGUCCGUGAGUAUUAAAACAAGCAAAACCAUCUCUGUCCUAGCAGCUGAGGCCCAGACAGCUGCCUCCCAGCCCAGCUAUGGCUCCCCCUAGCCGUGCCUCCAUUAUUUCCUUGUUAAUGCACACCAUAAUGCCCUGACCCUCCCUGCUCUAUCACCCAGCAAAAGACACCCAAAAUACACCUGAAAAGCUCACUUUCUCUCUCUAAAUGUGGAGUAUAUGUCUCCAUCUGCCUCCAAUCCAACAUUGGGCACCAUUGGCCCCAGCAGUAGAGAGGAUUUCUUACCUUUUUGGAGAGAAUAGCUGUUGCUCUACCUCUCUCUCCACAGUCCCAACCUCGACAGCCUCCUUCUUCUUCCCAGCAAUCCCUGCAAAAAAGGACACUUCCAUGUAUGUUGAAUAUGUAGGGGUGAUCAAAUUGAACUAAAUUAAUUUUAAAGAGCCCAGAAAGGCCCUAAAACCCAAAAAUGGCCAAAUUGGCCCCCAAUAUUAAUAUGCUCAAAAUUACCAUUUUAAAAUGAAAUUUCAGUGACAUUAAACAAUAAAGCCCACUCCUCAUGCACACCAUGUCCCACCCCUAUUCUUGCAACUUAUUCUGGUCCAUUCACAGUCAUACAGUUGAUAACUGAGAAGCAAUUGUCAGUUGGUGCGCAGCUGAACUAUCAGGCGCUUUCUGCAGCUCUUUUGUGCGUUUGCCAAGCCUUGGAGCAUCUUAUGGAGGCUACAAAUAGUCCAUUGGUGGUAUUUUCUGAGUCAAAGAGAUCCUUUUCUUGUGGACUGGACCAAAAAAAUGGAAGGAAAAUGUUUUUUUGUGCGUAAAAUCCAACCAAGCAAAGAGAGAGCUAUUGAUCCAAAUAGACCUCUCCAAAAGUGCACAGGUGCAUCCAAAGGCUGGGAGAGCUCUCCAAAAGGCUCCAGGAGGAAAACGAAACUUUUAUCCAGCAUAAAAGGUAAUUAUUAUAAUAAUUCUGUUGAAAUUUUACCGAUUUUGCUCAAAAAUUAAAAGCUACACUCAAAUAUUGUCGAAUUUAAAGUCCAUUUGAAAGCUAGAAAAAUGGACCAAAUGGUGCAGAGAGCACUUUAGACUGUAAAAUAAAUAAUUUAAUGUAUUUAAAGAUAUUAAUUACUUAAAUAUAUUUGUGUUAAUACUGGAAGCACCAUAGCAUAGCUCACAAAUUGAAAUCACCAACAGUAGCUAUCAAGUAGGCAAAAACCUGAGCUGUAAACACACCCAUUCAGUGCGCAAAAGUGGCCACAGUCAGGUCCUUUAUCCAGGCUUGAAUAUGCAACAAUUUAGCUCUGGAGCACACAAUAUAUAUAUUUAUAUGCUAAGAGCAUGCAGAUAAAUCCAAUGCACUCUUAGGUGGAGGAAUGACAGUUGAAGCUGUUUUCCCCAAAAUAAACCUCCAUGCAAAUUCAGUUGGCAGCUGCCUGCAAAGCGUUAAAGGAUCCUGUUUCCCUCAAAGCCUAAAGCUGAUGUCUGUGUUUACAUAUAGGCUAAAUUACAACAGCACAUAAUAUGAUGGGCGUUUGCAUCCCUGCAGAUCCAGACCUGAGUCUCCACCAACAUGGUGUCACUGUUACAAUCAAUGUGUCAAUAUGUAUAUAUAUACUGUAUAUACAUUUCAAUUUGAUAGUCUGAGCAACAUUUGAUCUAUAGUUAGAAAUAGUAGAAAAUAAUACCAUAUAUACUCUAUAAUAUAUUCCCUAUAGGCUAUACUCUAUAUUAAAAAAAUUACAGAAAAAAUAAAUAAAUAGAUAAAUAUGUAGAAUUUACCAAUAAAUAGGUUAACGAGCCUUUGAGACACCAAAUCCUCCUCUGGCUCAGCAGCAACAAGAGAAGCUCUGUUCUGUCCUCCCUGCUGAGGUUUGUAGUGGAAGAAAAAAAAUAGAAAUAAAAAGACAAGUUUCCCUUAGAAAUAGCCUAAUAAAGCCUUCGUUAUCUGCUCAGAAACGACCGUCCACAUCAACGCUCCGAGCGUAUUGGUGGUAAAAACAGGCGCAUAUGUCAUGUGGUGCCCUUUAAGGCUGUUCAUCGUCAUCAUUAUACCAAAAGCACAGCCGGAGCUGCAGCCGGACGCACCGCCUGCAUGUCCUCUUUGUGCAUGUUGUCGCAGCAGCUGUCAUACAGAUCAUGUUGCAGGCAGAAGUCACAGUGCGAUGAAUACUCACAGGUCCUAUACUGUAAUAACCACAAUUGUGCAAGAUCAUCUGUGCGUUGGUCGGCGGUUAACAUGCGUAAUAUUUAGUCUGCAAGAUGACAAACAGCUUCUGUUGCAAGAUGGUGUUGUUUUUUUUUAGCUGCAUGGGGGGCAGGAGGAGAGCUCUGCUGACUGAUGGUUGAAAACCACAUUAAUGAUGUCUGGAGUGACUGUCUGGAUGUCUGGAUGCAGUGAGUAUAAAAAGCACAAGAGGAACUGAAAUCAACCGAUAUAUACCCAAGACUCUGUUAUUAUCUUUAAUAUUUCAUAUUUAUCAUUUUCUGCACUUCAGAUCACCUAUUUCUCUCAUUGUAUGCCUAUUUAUUUGGAUAAAACACUAUUUGAGAAUAUUGCUUACUGCAUUGUUUAAUAUAAAAACAAACAAGCUUACCUUAUAUUGUCUGAUUUCAUGCAUUGUGGCAAUAUUUAAAAUUAAAAUUAAAAAUAAAAUAAAAUAAAUGGAAAUCUUGUUUUUCUUUUAUUGUGUAGACUUUUCAGUCUAUAGUAUGCCAUAAAAAAAGUCAUACUAUAGCAUGUCACAAAAAGUGUCAUCAAAAUGUCAUAGAAUAGUAUGCCAUAAAAAAUCCUAAAAAUGUCUAGUAUAUUACGUCACAAAAAAUCAUAAAAAAUGUCACAGUUGCUAUUAAAAAUGCCAUAACAAGUCAAUGAUAGUAUAGCAUGCCAUACAAUAUGUCAUAAAAAAAAUUCAUAUAAAUAUUGUAGUGUAGUAUGCCAUUAAAACGGCAUAAAAAGUCAUAGAUAGUAUAGUACGCCAUAAAAAGCUCAUAAAAAAUGUAAUUGUAUAGCAAGUCAUUAAAUACUUGAGAAGACCUGUGCACAAGCUGUCAGAAAGGAUUUUCAAUUAUGGAGAGUGUUUGACUGUAAAUCAAAAAUCUGAUAUUUUAAUACACCUCUUAUAAUUUCUUCAUGUGUGAAAGAACCUUCUGUGGCAUUAGGUUGGAGAAACUGUGGAAAAAUCGAGGACCACACAUGUUUUUUUGGGACUGCCCGAUAAUUCAAGGGUUUUGGAAAAGAAUAAAUUGAUAAAAUUAAAGAAAUAGAUGUCCCAUUAUAGAUCCAUUGUUAUUUUUGUUAGGAUCUGUACCUGAAGAUAGGUAUGUACUGCAGAUACUUUAUUGAUUGCCAAGAAAAUGAUAACUGUGAACUGGAAGGAUGUAAACAAUAAGUCAGUGGUUGCAGUCUAGCUGCAACUGAAAAGGGACACAUAUAUAAUAUGUGGGUUUUUUUUGCAAUUAUUGCAGUGAAUGUCUGAGUUUGACUGUUUUUUUAAAAAUGGAAAAUCAAAUAAAAAGUUCCCCCCCAAAAAAGUGACAUAAAAACGAUAAUUUAGAAAGGUGUAAGAAAAAAGGCCAUAGUAUAGUAUGUCACAAAACACAUCAAUGAAAAAAAUACAUAGUAUAGCAUGCCAUUAAAAACAGUCACAUCAGAGUGUUGGAGCCAUUUGCCAAAAGUGUCCAAUGAGAGGCGCUGUGGGUAUCCAUGGUAGUUUUGUCUGCAGGUGGUGCAUGGAUGGAUGAACUGCAGGCCCAUGGAGAGGUGUCCGGGUUUUUAUUGUAGAGAUGAAGCCUUCUUGUGUUUUACAGUAAUAUGAAGCUGCAUGGAUUGGCAUAUCGGACUGUAAGUUCAUGUUUUGAGGAGACAACAACAGAGAGCAGAGGAAGCAGCCAUCUACACCAGAACCACGUGUAAGCUAUCAUCACCAAAACGAACCGUCAGCAUGAAGUCAAAACCUUCCUCUGUAUGAUCUGAUGCACAUUGUCCAUCACAAACUGCUGGUCAAACGCAGAGAGAGCAUUGAGCGCAGUGACGGACAGUGGACUCCAGAGAGACCAGAGAUUGGGCCUCCAGUUCAGCGACACAACGUCAGACAGCGGGGGAAAGUUUCUUUUGGACCACGGCCAAGUGAAAAGAGGUUCCACUGUUUCUCCAGACGGCGCUAUGUUCUGGAGCAGGUGUGCAUACUGCGUGGGCUCGGUCUCGUGGGGAGCAUUUUUUCGAGCGUAGUACCUCCUGGACGCCGCUCUCCAAGCCUCCCUCUGCAGCGACUGAGACUCUUCAGGUUGUUCGGUGGCAAUAUUUGACAACUUUGCAAUUCUUGCAGACAGCGAGUGUGUGGAGUGUGGCUCCUUUCUCUGUCUUGUGAAUGAAGUCUGGUGGCGUCGAAGAGAGCUAUAUGCUUCAGUUCCCCGUCAGAAAGAACACGGGAGUUGCUGGUCUACCGCUGUAUCAAUCAGUUUGUUAGUUUGUAUUAUAGUGUGACUUUCUGAUCUGAACUAACGUGACGUCCACAGCAGUACAUUUGCUUCUUUUUUUCAUUACAUUUUUUA